rnacentral:rRNA from 1 species
GACGAACGCUGGCGGCGUGCCUAAUACAUGCAAGUCGAACGAGAGCGACCGGUGCUUGCACUGGUCAAUCUAGUGGCGAACGGGUGAGUAACACGUGGGUAACCUGCUCAUCAGAGGGGGAUAACAUCCGGAAACGGAUGCUAAAACCGCAUAGGUCUUCGAGCCGCAUGGCUUGAAGAGGAAAAGGGGCGCAAGCUUCUGCUGAUGGAUGGACCCGCGGUGCAUUAGCUAGUUGGUGAGGUAACGGCUCACCAAGGCCGUGAUGCAUAGCCGACCUGAGAGGGUGAUCGGCCACAUUGGGACUGAGACACGGCCCAAACUCCUACGGGAGGCAGCAGUAGGGAACCUUCCGCAAUGGACGCAAGUCUGACGGAGCAACGCCGCGUGAGUGAAGAAGGUUUUCGGAUCGUAAAACUCUGUUGUUAGAGAAGAACAAGUGCUAGAGUAACUGUUAGCGCCUUGACGGUAUCUAACCAGAAAGCCACGGCUAACUACGUG